AUGCUGGCUUCAGCAGCACAUGCACUACAACUGAAACGAGACAGAGAAGACUGGCAUGCCCCCACACAAGGAUGACAUGCAAAUACAUAGAGUGCUCCAUAUUUCU